CGCUUUGUGGUUCAACUGAUUUGAAGAGCUUGCUCAGAUAUGACGAUGGACAUUGCAAAGAGUGGCGAACGGGUGAGUAACACGUGGGAAACCUACCUCUUAGCAGGGGAUAACAUUUGGAAACAGAUGCUAAUACCGUAUAACAAUAGCAACCGCAUGGUUGCUACUUAAAAGAUGGUUCUGCUAUCACUAAGAGAUGGUCCCGCGGUGCAUUAGUUAGUUGGUGAGGUAAUGGCUCACCAAGACGAUGAUGCAUAGCCGAGUUGAGAGACUGAUCGGCCACAAUGGGACUGAGACACGGCCCAUACUCCUACGGGAGGCAGCAGUAGGGAAUCUUCCACAAUGGGCGAAAGCCUGAUGGAGCAACGCCGCGUGUGUGAUGAAGGGUUUCGGCUCGUAAAACACUGUUGUAAGAGAAGAAUGACAUUGAGAGUAACUGUUCAAUGUGUGACGGUAUCUUACCAGAAAGGAACGGCUAAAUACGUGCCAGCAGCCGCGGUAAUACGUAUGUUCCAAGCGUUAUCCGGAUUUAUUGGGCGUAAAGCGAGCGCAGACGGUUAUUUAAGUCUGAAGUGAAAGCCCUCAGCUCAACUGAGGAAUUGCUUUGGAAACUGGAUGACUUGAGUGCAGUAGAGGAAAGUGGAACUCCAUGUGUAGCGGUGAAAUGCGUAGAUAUAUGGAAGAACACCAGUGGCGAAGGCGGCUUUCUGGACUGUAACUGACGUUGAGGCUCGAAAGUGUGGGUAGCAAACAGGAUUAGAUACCCUGGUAGUCCACACCGUAAACGAUGAGUGCUAGGUGUUUGAGGGUUUCCGCCCUUAAGUGCCGCAGCUAACGCAUUAAGCACUCCGCCUGGGGAGUACGACCGCAAGGUUGAAACUCAAAGGAAUUGACGGGGACCCGCACAAGCGGUGGAGCAUGUGGUUUAA
rnacentral:rRNA from 1 species